UUAAGCGACUAAGCGUACACGGUGGAUGCCCUGGCAGUCAGAGGCGAUGAAGGGCGUGCUAAUCUGCGAUAAGCGCCGGUAAGGUGAUAUGAACCGUUAUAACCGGCGAUACCCGAAUGGGGAAACCCAGUGUGAUUCGUCACACUAUCAUUAACUGAAUCCAUAGGUUAAUGAGGCGAACCGGGGGAACUGAAACAUCUAAGUACCCCGAGGAAAAGAAAUCAACCGAGAUUCCCCCAGUAGCGGCGAGCGAACGGGGAGGAGCCCAGAGCCUGAAUCAGCAUGUGUGUUAGUGGAAGCGUCUGGAAAGGCGCGCGAUACAGGGUGACAGCCCCGUACACAAAAGCGCAUGUGCUGUGAGCUCGAUGAGUAGGGCGGGACACGUGGUAUCCUGUCUGAAUAUGGGGGGACCAUCCUCCAAGGCUAAAUACUCCUGACUGACCGAUAGUGAACCAGUACCGUGAGGGAAAGGCGAAAAGAACCCCGGCGAGGGGAGUGAAAAAGAACCUGAAACCGUGUACGUACAAGCAGUGGGAGCCCCACCACCAAAGCAUUCUCUGGUGUUGAAGGCCCUGCAAAGCAGCAUCGCGGUGGCGGAGCGUCGUUUGCGACGCCCAACACACAAAACAAGCGGUGAGUGCUUUGGGGUGGGGUGACUGCGUACCUUUUGUAUAAUGGGUCAGCGACUUAUAUUUUGUAGCAAGGUUAACCGCAUAGGGGAGCCGGAGGGAAACCGAGUCUUAAUUGGGCGUUAAGUUGCAGGGUAUAGACCCGAAACCCGGUGAUCUAGCCAUGGGCAGGUUGAAGGUUGGGUAACACUAACUGGAGGACCGAACCGACUAAUGUUGAAAAAUUAGCGGAUGACCUGUGGCUGGGGGUGAAAGGCCAAUCAAACCGGGAGAUAGCUGGUUCUCCCCGAAAGCUAUUUAGGUAGCGCCUCGUGAAUUCAUCUCCGGGGGUAGAGCACUGUUUCGGCUAGGGGGCCAUCCCGGCUUACCAACCCGAUGCAAACUGCGAAUACCGGAGAAUGUUAUCACGGGAGACACACGGCGGGUGCUAACGUCCGUCGUGAAGAGGGAAACAACCCAGACCGCCAGCUAAGGUCCCAAAGUCAUGGUUAAGUGGGAAACGAUGUGGGAAGGCCCAGACAGCCAGGAUGUUGGCUUAGAAGCAGCCAUCAUUUAAAGAAAGCGUAAUAGCUCACUGGUCGAGUCGGCCUGCGCGGAAGAUGUAACGGGGCUAAACCAUGCACCGAAGCUGCGGCAGCGACGCUUAUGCGUUGUUGGGUAGGGGAGCGUUCUGUAAGCCUGUGAAGGUGGCCUGUGAGGGUUGCUGGAGGUAUCAGAAGUGCGAAUGCUGACAUAAGUAACGAUAAAGCGGGUGAAAAGCCCGCUCGCCGGAAGACCAAGGGUUCCUGUCCAACGUUAAUCGGGGCAGGGUGAGUCGACCCCUAAGGCGAGGCCGAAAGGCGUAGUCGAUGGGAAACGGGUUAAUAUUCCCGUACUUGGUGUUACUGCGAAGGGGGGACGGAGAAGGCUAUGUUGGCCGGGCGACGGUUGUCCCGGUUUAAGCGUGUAGGUGUGUGUUCCAGGUAAAUCCGGUUCACUUUAACACUGAGGCGUGACGACGAGGCACUACGGUGCUGAAGCAACAAAUGCCCUGCUUCCAGGAAAAGCCUCUAAGCAUCAGGUAACAUCAAAUCGUACCCCAAACCGACACAGGUGGUCAGGUAGAGAAUACCAAGGCGCUUGAGAGAACUCGGGUGAAGGAACUAGGCAAAAUGGUGCCGUAACUUCGGGAGAAGGCACGCUGACAUGUAGGUGAAGUGAUUUACUCAUGGAGCUGAAGUCAGUCGAAGAUACCAGCUGGCUGCAACUGUUUAUUAAAAACACAGCACUGUGCAAACACGAAAGUGGACGUAUACGGUGUGACGCCUGCCCGGUGCCGGAAGGUUAAUUGAUGGGGUCAGCGCAAGCGAAGCUCCUGAUCGAAGCCCCGGUAAACGGCGGCCGUAACUAUAACGGUCCUAAGGUAGCGAAAUUCCUUGUCGGGUAAGUUCCGACCUGCACGAAUGGCGUAAUGAUGGCCAGGCUGUCUCCACCCGAGACUCAGUGAAAUUGAACUCGCUGUGAAGAUGCAGUGUACCCGCGGCAAGACGGAAAGACCCCGUGAACCUUUACUAUAGCUUGACACUGAACAUUGAGCCUUGAUGUGUAGGAUAGGUGGGAGGCUUUGAAGUGUGGACGCCAGUCUGCAUGGAGCCGACCUUGAAAUACCACCCUUUAAUGUUUGAUGUUCUAACGUGGACCCGUAAUCCGGGUUGCGGACAGUGUCUGGUGGGUAGUUUGACUGGGGCGGUCUCCUCCUAAAGAGUAACGGAGGAGCACGAAGGUUGGCUAAUCCUGGUCGGACAUCAGGAGGUUAGUGCAAUGGCAUAAGCCAGCUUGACUGCGAGCGUGACGGCGCGAGCAGGUGCGAAAGCAGGUCAUAGUGAUCCGGUGGUUCUGAAUGGAAGGGCCAUCGCUCAACGGAUAAAAGGUACUCCGGGGAUAACAGGCUGAUACCGCCCAAGAGUUCAUAUCGACGGCGGUGUUUGGCACCUCGAUGUCGGCUCAUCACAUCCUGGGGCUGAAGUAGGUCCCAAGGGUAUGGCUGUUCGCCAUUUAAAGUGGUACGCGAGCUGGGUUUAGAACGUCGUGAGACAGUUCGGUCCCUAUCUGCCGUGGGCGCUGGAGAACUGAGGGGGGCUGCUCCUAGUACGAGAGGACCGGAGUGGACGCAUCACUGGUGUUCGGGUUGUCAUGCCAAUGGCACUGCCCGGUAGCUAAAUGCGGAAGAGAUAAGUGCUGAAAGCAUCUAAGCACGAAACUUGCCCCGAGAUGAGUUCUCCCUGAGACUUAAAGUCUCCUGAAGGAACGUUGAAGACGACGACGUUGAUAGGCCGGGUGUGUAAGCGCAGCGAUGCGUUGAGCUAACCGGUACUAAUGAACCGUGAGGCUUAACCUU
rnacentral:rRNA from 1 species